AGAAAAUGUGUGAUUUGGGGGUUAAAAGGGGGAUUUCUGAGGAGAAAAUGUGUGCUUUUGGGGUUAAUGGGGUAUUUUUGGAGAGAAAAUGCAUGAUUUGGGGUAAAUGCGUAUUUUCCAAGAGAAAAGGUGAGGUUUUUGAGUUAAAUGGGGGGUUUUCCAAGAGAAAAUGCGUGAUUUUGGGGUUAAACGGGGGAUUGUUGAAGAGAAAACGCACAAUUUUUGGUUUAAACAGCAAGUUUUGUAGAGAAUAUGCAUGAUUUUCGGUUUAAAACAGAGAUUCUCAAAGAGAAAUGCAUUAUUUUUGUUUAAAUGGGGUAUUUUUGAAGGGAAAAUGCAUGAUUUUUGGGUUAAAUGGGGGAUUUUUCAAGAGAAAAUGUGUGAUUUUCAGUUAAAUCGCGGAUUCUCAAUGAGAAAAUGCCUGAUGUUUGCAUUAAAUGUGUGAUUUUCGUAGAGAUAAUGCGUGAUUUUCAGGUUACAUGGGAGAUUUUUGAAGAGAAAAUGCGUGAUUUUCGGUUAAUUGGGUGAUUUCUGCAAAGAAAAUGCAUCAUUUU
ensembl:lncRNA